rnacentral:rRNA from 1 species
GGUGCCUUCGGGAACUCUGACACAGGUGCUGCAUGGCUGUCGUCAGCUCGUGUCGUGAGACUGUUAGGGUUAAGUCCCGUAACGACGCGCAACCCUUGUCCUUAGUUACCAGCACGUUAUGGUGGGCACUCUAAGGAGACUGCCGGUGACAAACCGGAGGAAGGUGGGGAUGACGUCAAGUCAUCAUGGCCCUUACGGCCUGGGCUACACACGUGCUACAAUGGUCGGUACAAAGGGUUGCCAAGCCGCGAGGUGGAGCUAAUCCCAUAAAACCGAUCGUAGUCCGGAUCGCAGUCUGCAACUCGACUGCGUGAAGUCGGAAUCGCUAGUAAUCGUGAAUCAGAAUGUCACGGUGAAUACGUUCCCGGGCCUU